CCACCUUCUUCCUGUGUAUCAGCCAAUCAGAGCAGAGCCUGCCUCCACUUCCGGUGUGGGAGGCAGCGUUGUAAUGGCUUUCCGCUGCUCCACUGUGGGAAAUGUUUGAGUGACUUGACGUGGACUUUAAUGACGCGGCGACACAUAAUGUUCCGCAUGAGCCGGCAGGUAGCAGCUGCUGCACCUGAUGCCCUAUUCCCCUGACAACCGCCUAUCGGACACCAACAUUCGGCGACCACCAUGUCCAUCACCCUGCUGUGGGCCGUGGACGUGUACGGUAGGGUAUACAGCGUCUCCACCGCCGGCCAGCGUUGGGAGCGUGCCGACGACGCGCUUCUGGAGCUUAAACGUGUCACCGCCGGGAAGGGGCGGUGCUGGGGCAUCGGCUGUGACCACCAUGUUUACCUCAACAUGAUGCCCCACGAGACACCCAUCCGCUACAGAGAGGAGACCUAUGAAAACCAGAGGUGGAACCCCGUGGACGGCUUCACGGAUACGCUGCUGCCCACCGACCGCUGGUCCUGGAGCGACGUGACGGGCAUGAACCCUCAAUCGCUCCAAGGCUUCCAGUUGCCGUCUCGCAGCUGGGAGUGGGAAGGGGACUGGUAUGUGGACCAGAGCUGUGGAGGAGAACCAAGCCAGACUGGGGCCUGGGAGUAUGCCGUUGACUUCCCUGCCAACUUCUCUCCUGACAAAAAGUGGAACUCUUGCGUGCGUCGUCGACGCUGGAUACGUUACAGGAGAUACAUAGCACAAGGCUCCUGGGCAAAGAUCCCCAUGGACCAUCCCUGGAAGGCUCCCCUGCCUCUCUGUGACAUCAGCUGUGGCGGCUGGGAGAUGAGUGAUGAGUCUGGGAGGUAUCCUUACCUGUGGGCUGUGUCUCAACAAGGACAGGUGUGGUUUAGGGAGGGCAUCCACCCUCGGGUCCCAGAGGGCACCAGCUGGGAGGAGGUAGAUGUGCCCCAGGAGGUGGCCCAGUUAUCACUCGGACCGAGAGACCUGCUGUGGGCUGUACUGUGGGAUGGGAACCUAAUGGUCCGAACGGGUCUCAGCCUGGACAACCCGAUUGGCACAUCGUGGGUGGAGUUGGCCUCGCCCGCAAAGGAAGUAGAAACCCUUCACGUCGCUGUAGGGGUCAGUGUCGUCUGGGUGGUAACUAAGGACUACAAGGUGUGGUUCCGGCGGGGUGUCAAUUCCCAUAAUCCCUGUGGCUCAGGAUGGAUCAGCAUAGGUGGCGAGAUGAUGAUGGUUGACGUGGGACUCAACGACCAGGUUUGGGCUGUCGGUGAGGAUCGCAGCCUGUAUUUCCGAAUGGGUGUAACGCCUUCGGAACCAAGUGGGAAUGGCUGGAUCCCUGUUUCUGCCCAGUGGGGCAACAGCAAAGAAGCUGCCCCUCCCAGUAACCAGCCGACAGAAGCCUCCCAAAGCUCCGUAAUGAGCUGCACUGACUCCGGUUCAGAGCGAGGCCCGACUGAGCCCCCAAACAGCACCCCAGUCCUGGAGGCGGCGGACCCCUCAGUGGUACCCUUAGGGGGAUCUGACACAGCCCCUCAACAAAGAGAGGACACUCCCGCAGCUCCCAAAUCUCUCAUCCCUGCGAGCGACAGCUUCAUUAACAGUCUCGUGUCCGACCGCGACAAAACAUCUACACCCCAACAGACCAUCGAACCUCAGGAGGAAGGGGGUCGGUUCUCCCCAGCACAGAUCCUCAUGAUUCCCGACGCUGUAGGACCCAUCACACCUUGGAGUAAUGUAGACCUGGAAGGGGCAGAGGCGUCCAGAAGCACACACACCGCAGCAGGGGCUUGCUCAGGCAAUGGCACUGCUGCUUACGGACUGGGUCUGGAUGGCUCGCACGGGAUUGGGGAGGACAACGGUCCUGUUUGGGCUUGGAUCUCUGGAGGAGGCUGCAGUGUGGACGCUUCCUCUCAAAUCAGCUGGCUCAGCGCUACAGGUCCUUUGGUCAGCUCUUUGUCACUGACCCCAGUGCAGUCUUCAGCAUGGAGCGAGCAGGAGCACAAAGAUGAUAUCGGCAAGAAACUUCUAGAAAGGAGCAACUCCAUAUGGGUGCGUAAAGGCACACUUCGCUGGUGGAGAGACUGGAAACCUCAGCGCUGGUUGGAUGUGGGCGUGGCUUUGGAGCAGUCCACCAAAUCGGAUGGGAAGAAGGACAGCAUCUUUUUUGUAUACUACACGCAAUACGAUGAGAAAAAGUACCUUCACGUCUUCGUCAAUGAAGUGACAGCUCUAGUUCCGGUGAUACGGGACUGCCACUAUGCUUUUGCCGUGUAUACCGGCCAGAGGAGCAGACAGAGGUGUCCCCUCCUCCUGGCAGCUCUCACCGAACAGGACAUGAAUGACUGGUUGACUCUGUUGUCUGACUGUUGCUGUGAGUGUCGAGGGAUUACUGCUCCCCCGUCCAGACAUGCUUUGUGGUCCACGACGUCGAAAGGGGACAUUUUUGUCCACGAGCCGUCCUUCUCCCUGGAGGCUGCCACGCACACACUGACAUGUGACCUCAUGUUCUGGCGCCAGGUCCCUGGUCACCUGCGCUGUGUAGAGUCUAACAGUCUGGGGCUGGUGUGGGGCAUCGGGUGGGAUGGCACUGCCUGGGUGUACGGUGGGCGUUGCGGGCAACAGGCCACCCCGGAUGCAGAUGCAGGUGACGUGCACCAGCAGACUGACGCCAGGAGCGUGCACGUGUAUGAGAAUCAAAGAUGGAACCCCGUGACAGGCUACACAGACAAAAGACUUCCCACUGACCGCCCCAUGUGGAGUGACGAGAGUGGACUGAGGGAGUGCACCAAAGGCAACACACACCCACCCUCGCCUCAGUGGUCCUGGGUGUCAGAGUGGGCCGUGGACCAGACUGUGCCAGGAGGGACGGAUAAAGAAGGAUGGCAGUACGCUGCAGACUUUCCCACAACAUUCCACGGACACAAAACCAUGAAGGACUUUGUACGACGUAGACGAUGGUCAAGAAAGUGUAAGAUCACAUUGAGCGGACCGUGGCAGGAAGUCCCGCCCAUCCCUCUGAGUGACAUCUCUCUGAUGCCGUGCUUGGCUCAAAGCAAGAUGGAGGAGGUGCCCCUGUGGGCCCUCAGCGACAAGGGGGACGUGCUGUGUCGGCUUGGGGUCACCACUCAGAACCCGGCGGGCACCUCAUGGCUUCACGUGGGCACCGACCAGCCCUUUAAGUCCAUCUCCAUAGGCGGGGCCAAUCAAGUGUGGGCCAUCGCCAAGGAUGGCGCCGUUUUCUACAGGGGCUCUGUGUCCCCCCACAACCCUGCAGGAGAGUGCUGGUACCACGUCCCCUCCCCCUCCAGGCAGACGCUGAGACAAGUGUCAGUGGGCCGCACUUCAGUGUUUGCAGUGGAUGAAAACUGUAACCUUUGGUACCGACAAGGCCUCACACCCAGCUACCCUCAGGGGUCCGCAUGGGAGCUCAUCUCCAACAAUGUCACCAAGGUCUCUGUCGGCCCUCUAGACCAGAUGUGGAUCAUAGCAGACGGAAUGCCGGGUUUCCCUACCGAGACCCCUGGAGCGCUUUGCCACCGACUGGGGGUGGGGCCUAUGCAGCCUAAAGGUCAACACUGGGACUACGGUCUAGGGGGAGGCUGGGAGCACAUCAGCGUGAGGGCCAACUCACUGGAGGCCCCUCGCACUCAGCACCCACUCCCACUCCCACCCGGACCCUCACUCAGCCCACAGCUUCCAAGCAGAGCCAAUGGGAAGGCAAUGGUGGGUGUUCCCGUUUAAGCCCCGCCCCUCUUUGUGUGUGCCGGGAUCCUCGUUAGACUACUUGGGGAGUGAAGGAGAGACAACGAGAAUGCAAACUGCCGUGGAUGUGAUUAAAAAAAGGUAGCGUGUGCUUUGAAGACUACGGAAAACAGCGAAUGCAUUUGGACUGGCAAAGCAGACUGUGUCACUUAUUGUCCACCAUGUAUGUCACGGACUCAACGUCUAGGUCCAAAGUGUAUAAAGUCACCAAAAACGAAUGAAUGGACAAUGAAGGUGAAGGCAAAAGAGUGAGGAGGGUCCUGAUCAGAUAUCUAGAUCCCUAGUUUGAUUGACGUAAAAUGGUCUUUAUCACAUUGUUUACGUUCACAUGUCUAAUAAAGAUGUGAUUAAUGUAUGAUGUCUCAGGUGUGAUUCACUACAAUAGGACCCCACAACACACUGGACUCCAGCUCAUUGAAAUACUACAACACUUAAGACCCACUUUCAUUCUUUGGCUUUUAACACUACGUGAGUUGUGUGGUCCUCUGUUCUGUUGUCCUCUGUGUUUUUUAUACACUUUGAUUUCUAUUUUACUGUUUUAAUUGAUUUUACCCUUUAAAAUACUUUUUAAUCAUAUUUGUUUUUAUAUUGUUUUAUAUUCAUUUAUUUUUUGUUUUUAUUC